CGAGGUCGCGUGAUGCUUUCAAUGCAUAGUUCAGAUGAUAUUCUGUGAUUAAGUUAAACCUUUAUAGUCUUUCGCUCCUAUCUGAUGACCUCU